rnacentral:rRNA from 1 species
UGGGGAAUAUUGCACAAUGGGCGCAAGCCUGAUGCAGCCAUGCCGCGUGUGUGAAGAAGGCCUUCGGGUUGUAAAGCACUUUCAGCGAGGAGGAAGGUGGUGAACUUAAUACGUUCAUCAAUUGACGUUACUCGCAGAAGAAGCACCGGCUAACUCCGUGCCAGCAGCCGCGGUAAUACGGAGGGUGCAAGCGUUAAUCGGAAUUACUGGGCGUAAAGCGCACGCAGGCGGUUUGUUAAGUCAGAUGUGAAAUCCCCGGGCUCAACCUGGGAACUGCAUUUGAAACUGGCAAGCUAGAGUCUCGUAGAGGGGGGUAGAAUUCCAGGUGUAGCGGUGAAAUGCGUAGAGAUCUGGAGGAAUACCGGUGGCGAAGGCGGCCCCCCUGGACGAAGACUGACGCUCAGGUGCGAAAAGCGUGGGGAGCAAAACAGGAUUAGAUACCCUGGUAGUCCACGCUGUAAAACGAUGUCGAUUUUGGAGGUUGUG